UUGCUAACUUCAGCAGCAGAUAUACUUAGAAUUGGAAUGGUACAGAGAAGAUAAGCAUGGCCCCUGUGCAAGGAUAACACAGAAAUUUGUGAAGCAUUUCAUAUUUUU